rnacentral:rRNA from 1 species
UACGUAGGGUGCAAGCGUUUGUCCGGAAUUAUUGGGCGUAAAGAGCUCGUAGGUGGCCUGUCGCGUCGGCUGUGAAAACUCGGGGCUCAACCUCGGGCCUGCAGUGGGUACGGGCAGACUAGAGUGCGGUAGGGGAGAUUGGAAUUCCUGGUGUAGCGGUGGAAUGCGCAGAUAUCAGGAGGAACACCGGUGGCGAAGGCGGGUCUCUGGGCCAUUACUGACGCUGAGGAGCGAAAGCGUGGGGAGCGAACAGG